CGGCGGACGGGUGAGUAACGCGUGGGUAACCUGCCUCAUACAGGGGGAUAACAGUUAGAAAUGACUGCUAAUACCGCAUAAGACCACAGCACCGCAUGGUGCGGGGGUAAAAACUCCGGUGGUAUGAGAUGGACCCGCGUCUGAUUAGCUAGUUGGUGGGGUAACGGCCUACCAAGGCGACGAUCAGUAGCCGACCUGAGAGGGUGACCGGCCACAUUGGGACUGAGACACGGCCCAA
rnacentral:rRNA from 1 species